AUUAAAUCAGGCGAAUUAAGAGUAGAAGUAGAGAAGAAGUACCCCGAAAGGAGACGCUUGAAAUCACCAUGUGUAAGGCCCGUGUGAUGUGUUUGAUUAUGGUUCUCCUGGCCGUCACAGUCGCGUUUGCAAACUCGCAUCAUUGCAAUGAAGAUCUUCUACAUAAAAUACGCACAUUGGAUGAUGACUCCUGCGUAAAAGCAAAACUAAUCAAGGUCCUUGUCAAUUGCAUUUUCCGACACAAAGGCCUUUUUAAAAGUAUCCAGAAUCAGUUAAAUAAAACUGAGAAAGUUGUGUGAUAUAUUUUCCGAGUUCGAUUGGUGCUACCGCAAAUAUGCUCAUCGUUGGAGGGUUUGUCUACAAAAAAGAUUUGAUAAAAAAAACAUCAAAGGAAAGAUUAAAUGGUAACACGGUACAAAAGACAGGUGCUUUAGACGGUUUUUAAAUUUCCUUACCGCAUCAAUUGAUUUCCUCCAAGUGUGAUGCUAUGCGCAUCUGUGAUGAUGAUUAUCCAAUCAAAUACUGUCUUUCAUACCUAUGGACAUUGUGACGUAACAUAAAUAGACCAUGCCCUCCAUUUAACUUUUGUGUGAGUGCGAACGGAUUGCUACAUGCUUACCGGAUCAGUCUCCUGCUGUUACUUUGAACUGCUUUGCAGUCCGCUUACGCUGUCGUCCUUUCUUAAUGUAAGUUGUGUCUGUUGUCCACCUCUCGCUCUAAUCUUAACGAUCUCAGCUGGGAAGGACCAUUUAGUGCAGGGUGAUUCAUGUAAAACACAGUACUGUUGGUGCGUUAUACUAGUUCUCAAGGAGUACAGUUCGAUGAAGGACAAAAUUUAUGCUACUUAGAGUAAUGAUAUUGUGCAAUGUUUUCAUCACGUGAUCAACAUUUAACAUUGUCUUAUGUUGUUAUAUGCAGCAUGUGAUAAUAGAUAACCUAGUAUAGGGUAAAAUAAGAUACUUUUUCGAGCUUUUUAGUUUCGUUAAACUAUGUAUGUAAAUUGACUUCUGCAUUUUAUUGUCAACUAUGAAAACUGGGAUAAUAGUUUUUAGUUUUGUAUGAAUUUUUUCUAUUCUCUAUUUCAAAAAGUAACAUUUUAGUUGGUUCUUUGUUGAGUUAUCUGCUGUAUUUUAAAAUUUAUCGGCUUAGUUUUUUGUUUAUUUUUUUUUUUUUGGGGGGGGGGGGGUUUGUUUGUUUGUUUUGUUUUUUUUUGGGGGGGGGGGUUAGUCUGUGUAGGUAUAAUAGUUAGCUAAUUUGCUUUUACUGUAUGAAGUAGCAGGUGCUUGGUUGAAAUGUUUAAAUUAGUGAUAUGCUCUGUUUACAUAUGAAUGAAAAGAUUUUUUGUUGUAUGCUAAGAAAGCCGCAAUGUUAGUAAUUUAUUGGUGCAAGAGUGUAUGUGUGUGCGUUCUGUUUCAUCCCUGUAGCUGUGUAUUUAUAUCUAUUUAUUUAUAAAUUGUUGAAAUAUAUAUGAUUUUUUUCUAAAUC
rnacentral:sRNA from 1 species